AGCUUUGUAAUGUACAAAUUUGCUAUUUAGUUAAUUUAUAUAACUCCAAUUUGAUAUUAAACCUUAGAAAAAAAGUUCCUCAUAUAUAUUAGUUGUAAUCUAGUAUAUGCCUCAUAAAUUGCAACCAACUAGCGAAUUUACUAUGCAAUCCCUACCCUCAGAAUAUAUAAGACUUGUAGAGAUCCCACUACAACACAAGUCACACGAAAUACGCAAAUACAUAUUCAUCGGAUACAACGCAUAGAUAUUAAAGCAUCUCCAAGAGCUCUUGUAUUUAUGAGUAGCUAAAAUUCCAAUUUAGCUAUUAUGUAAAACAAAAUAUCUAGCCAAAAAAAUGAUAAAAUCCAAUAGCUUCUCUAAAUCUAACCACAAGCACACCUCUCUUCCUCUUCUGCCUCCUUCUCUCCCUUGCACGCUCACCAAAUGCCGCCUCCUAUGCUCGCCGGCGACGGCCGCGACACCGGCCACCUCGGCGUGGAUGAGGGGGCCUUGGCCUGGUGGAGAUGGCGGCGCAGAACCAGCAUUUGGCGCACGAUCCACUAAGCCCGCCUGCAUCGAUGAGCUGCUACCCUUGUGAGAUCCUGAAGUCAACCUCUGAUUGAACUACGAGCUACGCAUGGUAGGGCUGAUCCACCAGCAAAAAGGAUCAGCGGAGCAUGACCCUCUUCGAUCAAGCACCCGCAGGUCUGACUUCCUCCCAUCUCAAUUCUUCGCCGAGACGCCCAGGCCGAGCUGCGCCACGUCCGACACGGGGAGCGAGAUCUCCUUCCUCUGGACCGCCGGCACGACCGACCUCGCCGGUGACGAAUCGGACUCCACCAGCCCGAGCAAGAGGAAGGAGAAAAGGAGUUCGCGCCGGUGGAGCCAGAGCUGCGGGUCGCGGGUUGGGGCCAGGGCGCCAGGCCGUGCAGGCGGGAUACAAGAGCUGAUGAACUCGGUAUUUUUGCCCUGCGGCACCCUCUAGAUACAAAAAGAAGGAUAGAAGAGGAAGUAGAUAGAAUAUCUGUUAGAUGGAAGUUUUUUUUGUCUUUUUUUUAGCCAACUUACCCAAAAUACAAGAUCUAUUGGAGAUGCUCUUGCACCAAUCAGUCAAUCACGAUGGCCUGAGUUUUCCAAAAAAAAAAAUGUAUCCCUCGCUAUACUAUUGCCAUCGAUCUUAAUCUCACCAUUCCACUUCUAAAGAA